rnacentral:misc_RNA from 1 species
AUCGCGUUGCCCCCCUGCUAGAUCCUUCUUGGUCGAGCGCGGGGAGCGGAUUAUGGCCUCCCGUGACCCCAACACGGGAUGCGGAUGGCCCAAAUGCGAGUCCAUGGCGGCGGAUGUCACGGCGAGUGGUGGACGUACCUAGUGUGCAUAUCUUCGCGUCGUGGCCCCGUCGUUCGCGGGCGAUUGUCCCUUACGAGUCCUUCUAAAGCGACUCUCCGACC